CGGAAUGGGGCCUCACCGCCUAAGGGGGCCUUUGAGAGAGAAUGAUGGUUGAGAUGAGCAGGAGAGUCAGCCUGUUUGAGGAGUAUCUGCAUCGCUAGGAGGUAGCACCUGUUUGGUACCUUGGAAGCUGGUUGGACUGGGGGGCCAUGGGGGUCAGCAAGAGCCCAAACCUCUAAAGGGACUGUGCUGUGGGAGGGAAGGACUAGACUCUCUUACACUAAAAAUGAAAGAGAGCAAACAACUGGAGAGAGAAGUGAGCAUUUUUUAAGAAGGUAUUUUUUAAAUGACAAACACUCCAUUUUUAUGAAAUUACAAAGGAAACAAUUUUAGUUCUUAAACGUGUGUGUGUGUGUGUUGAUAUCUGGAGAAUUUUUUAGCAUCGCUUUUCUAAAAACAACAAUCCAUUGUAUAUUUCAAGCCGAAAGAAACCACACUGGGAGGCUUCUGGAAUUUUCUUGUAGGUGGUCCAGUCAGACUUCAAAGUCCUCUCGCGGAAGACGCUGAAAGUAUGCAAGCCUUUCGGAUUCCAGCUCGACUCUCUGCUCUCUAGCGGCCACCGCGCAUGGAAAGGCGUCAGGGGAACGUUGUGCUUUGGGACUGGUGUGUGCUUCGCGCCGAGGGAGAGGCGGAGAUGCUGCCCAUAGCAUGAGGGCCGUUCUUUUGAGACUCAUGUAGCAUAAGCCAUCGGCUGACCUCUGUUGUGGUGAGAUGUCCAAGGUUUCCAAGAGAAUCCACAAAAAAAAAAGCGUGAGAACCUUCAUAGAUGAAUCCUUGAACCCCUACUCGACGCCAUAGCACUUCGUCAAGCGAAAUCCUAGAGGGCUAAAUGUGGUUGACCUUCUAGAACACAAUAAAAGCUGUGCCAUGUUUAAAAACAAGAAUCCAGAGGCUGAUGCUUGGAUUUACCAUUUACCAUAUAAGGAAAACCCCAGUGAGUAGAUGGAUGUCAUCUGAUUUACAUUUAUCUGUGAAUGUACAAUGUUAAGUGUGAUUAAACAUAAAGGCCCCAAAUUAAAGCACUGUAUAUAACACACUCCAAGACUCUGAAGCCUGCUCUCACUGUACUUUAAUUCAUGUAUUCACAUAUAACCACGUCCAUGUGUUCUAUUUGAAAUGUAUGUAUGUACGGUUUGUCUGUGAGGUGCCUCUUUAAUGCUUGUAUAACGAAAGUAAGCAAAUCGUGUUCCCAGUGAUACCGAUAAAUUACCUUAGAGAAACUUCACAUUACUGAUAUUACACUAAAUUAGUCAGGAUAAAAAAAGCUGAAAGUAAGGCCUUCCUUUGUAUUUUUUUAAUCUCUCAUGUAUAUAUUGUAGAAUUUAUACAUAGGGUUACAUGAUAUAUCAGAAUAUAUAUAUAUUGUGUUGUUUACUAGUGAGCCUACCCUCUGUCCACAAUCCAGAGUCUGACUGAAACACAACUGGUUUGUUAAAUGUUAGAUCAUUCUGGGUUGUUUUUAAGCAGGGAAGUUUUGAAUGACAUAACCAGUGACUAUUUAACUACCUUCAUCUACAUGCAACAGUGAAUUCCUCAGUGUGAAAAUAGAAAGUGUUAUUUAUCAAAACUUAAACUAGUAUAACUGUUAUCAGCAGAUUGUGUCAAGAAAGUAUGUCAACCACAAUUUAUGUAAAGAUUUGUAAUGUACGAUUAUUUUUUUCUCCCGAGCUUUUUUUCCAAAUUUGACGCCUACGUUCUUUGUGUUAUCUGACCGGAUGUCUUAGGUUUAAAAAGUUCUAACAUUGCUGUAUCUCAAAACACCACUUUUGUUUAUUUUUAGCUUUGCCUUUUUUUUGGCCGAUUUUGUAACGUUUUGAUUUCACUCUAUUAAAAGAAACAUUUUGAGUGGCUUUUA